rnacentral:lncRNA from 1 species
CGGCUGAGGGGAGGAGCCGAGCGAGCGGCGGGUGUCCCUGAGAGGCCACCUUUCGACCUUCGAGGGCCAGGAGGAUACGGGGAGGUGGCCGGAGGGAGUUCCCGAACACAGGUCUUCCUGUUCCCGCCGAGCAGGUGUUGGCGGUGCCAGGCCCGGCCUGGCGGGCCCGGGCUGGCAGCCAAAUACCCAGCGUCUGUGCUCGGGACGGGAGUGUUCGUCCAGGACGUGCAGCUCCGGAGCCUGCGCGGGCGACCUUGACCACCUUUGUCGGCUGUUUCCCCCUGAGGGAAGUAUACCUGUCCUGCCAGCCUUGGUCUCUGGCAGGGAAGGUCCUUCCAACAGAGAGGGAAUUGCUUAGAAUUGACUCAACACUGCCUCCUUGCUGAAUGGAUAAUUCAAGCAAACAACUCAAGAGCUGGAUGCUGCCCAGACAGAAGUCCUCCUAGCAUCUUUCUUCUGCCUUCCCCUGCUCCUGUCCCUGAAACCUUUUCUUCAAAAGAAGUGGAAAAGAGGAACUGGGAACCCAUAUAGCAACAGCAUCACCUGGAAUGAAUUCCUUUAGAACAUACUGUCUUGGAAAUCUGAAGCCUGCAGGGCUGGACAGGCAAGAAGAGCAGUGAGCACUGCAUGAACCUAGUCUUGCUGUGUCGCCCAAGCUGGAGUUCAGUGGCACCAUCCUGGCUCACUGCAACUGCUGCCUCCCAGGUUCAAGUGAUUCUCCUGCCUCAGCCUCCCGAGUAGCUGGGAUUACAUGUGCCUGCCACCACGCCUGGCAAGUUUUUGUAUUUUUAGUAGAAAUGGUGUUUUACCAUGUUGGCCAAGACUGGCCUAGAACUCCAGACCUCAAGUGAUCCACCCGCCUCAGCAGCCCAAAGUGGUGGGAUUACAGGCAUGAGCAACUGUGCCUGGCCUAGCCAUUUUCUAUAAACCUGAAAAUAGAUGCCAGAAAAGAAGGUGCCGCUAUAAAAUGCUUUCUUGAGUGAUUUAUGUCUAACAUACAAUUAAACAUUUAUGAGAAGGAAAUUAUCAGGUUAAAAUAUAAACUCACUUGCCAAUUAUUUGAUUUUCAGGAUAUCUGACUUUUGUUAAUUACUGAAAAUAAAGUAUUAUUUCUAAUCACUAUUGGUA